UCUCCGUUGGUGAACCAGCGGAGGGAUCAUUACAGGACUCGCAAGACUCCUUCACCCUGUAAACCUCACUACAAGCACGUUGCUUCGGCGGGUGUCCCGGCGGGGGUUCUCCCUCGCCGGGGCGCACAGCCCGCCGGCAGCCUACUAUACUCUGUCUCUUUGCGUUGGCAUCUCGAGAAAAAACAAACAAGUUAAAACUUUCAACAACGGAUCUCUUGGUUCUG
rnacentral:misc_RNA from 1 species